rnacentral:snoRNA from 1 species
UUGCAGGCCUCUGGCAUGCUUGGGUUUGGGGCGACUUUGUGCAUUCUUACAGCACAUGCAAGAACAGUUUUAAAAUGAUUUGAGGCCUUGUUCUUCUCCGUCUGAGGAGUAAGGUUAGAGAAGUAUCAGAUAGUU